AUUGAACGCUGGCGGCAUGCCUUACACAUGCAAGUCGAACGGCAGCACGGGAGCAAUCCUGGUGGCGAGUGGCGAACGGGUGAGUAAUAUAUCGGAACGUGCCCAGUAGUGGGGGAUAACUGCUCGAAAGAGCAGCUAAUACCGCAUACGACCUGAGGGUGAAAGGGGGGGAUCGCAAGACCUCUCGCUAUUGGAGCGGCCGAUAUCAGAUUAGCUAGUUGGUGGGGUAAAGGCCUACCGAGGCAACGAUCUGUAGUUGGUCUGAGAGGACGACCAGCCACACUGGGACUGAGACACGGCCCAGACUCCUACGGGAGGCAGCAGUGGGGAAUUUUGGACAAUGGGCGCAAGCCUGAUCCAGCAAUGCCGCGUGCAGGAAGAAGGCCUUCGGGUUGUAAACUGCUUUUGUCAGGGAAGGAAUCCUCUAGGUUAAUACCCUUGGGGGGAUGACGGUACCUGAAGAAUAAGCACCGGCUAACUACGUGCCAGCCGCCGCGGUAAUAC
rnacentral:rRNA from 1 species